rnacentral:rRNA from 1 species
CCUACGGGAGGCAGCAGUGAGGAAUAUUGGUCAAUGGGCGCUAGCCUGAACCAGCCAAGUAGCGUGAAGGAUGACUGCCCUAUGGGUUGUAAACUUCUUUUAUAUGGGAAUAAAGUGCAGUAUGUAUACUGCUUUGCAUGUACCUUAUGAAUAAGGAUCGGCUAACUCCGUGCCAGCAGCCGCGGUAAUACGGAGGAUCCGAGCGUUAUCCGGAUUUAUUGGGUUUAAAGGGAGCGUAGGCGGGUUGUUAAGUCAGUUGUGAAAGUUUGCGGCUCAACCGUAAAAUUGCAGUUGAUACUGGCAGCCUUGAGUACAGUAGAGGGAGGCGGAAUUCGUGGUGUAGCGGUGAAAUGCUUAGAUAUCACGAAGAACUCCGAUUGCGAAGGCAGCCUGCUGGACUGUAACUGACGCUGAUGCUCGAAAGUGUGGGUAUCAAACAGGAUUAGAUACCCCAGUAGUC